UGGGGAAUUUUGCACAAUGGGGGAAACCCUGAUGCAGCGACGCCGCGUGAUUUAGAAGGCCUUCGGGUUGUAAAAAUCUUUUCUAUGGGAAGAAAAUGACAGUACCAUAGGAAUAAGGACCGGCUAAUUACGUGCCAGCAGCCGCGGUAAUACGUAAGGUCCGAGCGUUGUCCGGAAUCAUUGGGCGUAAAGGGUACGUAGGCGGGUAAGCAAGUUAGAAGUGAAAUCCUGUAGCUCAACUGCAGUAAGCUUUUAAAACUGCUCAUCUUGAGAUAUGGAAGGGAAAGUGGAAUUCCUAGUGUAGCGGUGAAAUGCGCAGAUAUUAGGAGGAAUACCGGUGGCGAAGGCGACUUUCUGGCCAUAAUCUGACGCUGAGGUACGAAAGCGUGGGUAGCAAACAGG
rnacentral:rRNA from 1 species